UCUCCCUACUCCAAUCAGUGAAACUGAUCUCUCCGUGAAGAAGCGGGGAUACAAAUAUAAGACGAGAAGACCCCAUGGAGCUUUAAACCCAACGACACCCAUUUUCUUUAUACCCUAGUAUUCAUUUGGCUAUGUUUGAUUGGUUUUAGGUUGGGGUGACCACGGAGCAUAAAAUAACCUCCACGAAGAAGAGACUAAUAAUCUUUAUCAAAGAAGUACACUUCUAAGAAUUAACAAAUUAAUUUCCAAUGAUCCGAUAUUCGAUCAACGAACCAAGUUACCCUGGGGAUAACAGCGCAAUCCACCUCAAGAGCUCCUAUCGACAGGUGGGUUUACGACCUCGAUGUUGGAUCAGGAUAUCCCAGUGGUGUAGCAGCUACUAAAGGUUCGUUUGUUCAACGAUUA
rnacentral:rRNA from 1 species